CCUACGGGAGGCAGCAGUGAGGAAUAUUGGUCAAUGGACGAGAGUCUGAACCAGCCAAGUAGCGUGAAGGAUGACUGCCCUAUGGGUUUUAAACUUCUUUUAUAUGGGAAUAAACUGUUCCACGUGUGGGAUUUUGUAUGUACCAUAUGCAUAAGGAUCGCCUAACUCCAUGCCAGCCGCCGCGGUAAUACGGAGGAUCCGAGCGUUAUCAGGAUUUAUUGUGAUUAAAGGGAGAGUAGGUGGAGUGUUAAGUCAGUUGUGAAAGUUUGCGGCUCAACCGGAAAAUUGCAGUUGAAACUGGCAGUCUUGAGUACAGUAGAGGUGGGUGGAAUUCGUGGUGUAGCGGUGAAAUGCGUAGAUAUCACGAAGAACUCCGAUUGCGAAGGCAG
rnacentral:rRNA from 1 species